rnacentral:misc_RNA from 1 species
GUAGUGGACCUACAGUUGAUCUUGCUUCACAGUUACCAAACUUGAGAGGUGUGGUUCUACAUAGCCCAAUUUUGUCAGGAAUGAGGGUAUUAUACCCAGUCAAGAGGACGUAUUGGUUUGACAUUUACAAGAACAUCGAAAAAAUUGGAAUGGUGAAUUGUCCUGUUCUGGUAAUUCAUGGAACAGCAGAUGAAGUUGUUGAUUGCUAUCAUGGGAAACAGCUUUGGGAGCUUUGCAAGGAGAAGUAUGAACCAUUAUGGAUAAGUGGGGGCGGACAUUGCAAUCUUGAGCUUUAUCCAGAGUUCAUCAAACAUCUGAAGAAGUUUGUGUUGACCAUAGGCAAAACAAAAGCGGCAACAAAUGGUUCUAAGAAAACAACAGUAGAGUUGGAAAAUCAGAACAAACCAUCUGAGAGUGGAACAUCAGAUACUUUUAAAUCGGGUGCUGACCUUCCAGAAGUCUCUAGAAAUAGUUUAGAUAGUAGACUUGAGAAGUCCAAGAAGCCAAAUAAACCUGAAAAGUCUCGGAUGAGCACUGAUCGUGUUGAUAGAUUUAGGAGAAGAAAAGGCUUGGUCUGGUGAUUGCUUAUACAAGGAGCUUCUUCAAUAAAAAUAUGUGCAUGGGUCCACUUGAAGACGUUAUUUAUUUUUAACCCUUGCUUCUGUAACAUGCAUAAAGUCCGAGUGUAAUUUUUUACGUAUAUCUGUAUGUACCUUUAGAACACGAGUCAAAUUAAGCUAAAUCAUGUAUUUUAACUCCUUGUAAAAACAGCUUCUCAUUUGAAGAUGAAAAUGUUGUAAUUUCACCAUUGUCUUAAAAUGAGAAGCUGUUUUUACAGGAGUUAAAAUACAUGAUUUAGCUUAA